UAACAAGGUCUCCGUAGGUGAACCUGCGGAGGGAUCAUUACCG
rnacentral:rRNA from 1 species